UACGUAGGGUGCGAGCGUUAAUCGGAAUUACUGGGCGUAAAGCGUGCGCAGGCGGUUCGCUGUGUCCGAUGUGAAAGCCCCGGGCUUAACCUGGGAAUGGCAUUGGAAACUGGCGGGCUUGAGUGCGGCAGAGGGGGGUGGAAUUCCGCGUGUAGCAGUGAAAUGCGUAGAGAUGCGGAGGAACACCGAUGGCGAAGGCAGCCCCCUGGGUCGACACUGACGCUCAGGCACGAAAGCUAGGGGAGCAAACAGG
rnacentral:rRNA from 1 species